CCUACGGGUGGCAGCAGUGGGGAAUAUUGGACAAUGGGGGGAACCCUGAUCCAGCCAUGCCGCGUGUGUGAAGAAGGCCAUCGGGUUGUAAAGCACUUUCAGUGAGGAAGAACGCCUGGUGGUUAAUACCCAUCAGGAAAGACAUCACUCACAGAAGAAGCACCGGCUAACUCCGUGCCAGCAGCCGCGGUAAUACGGAGGGUGCGAGCGUUAAUCGGAAUUACUGGGCGUAAAGCGCGCGUAGGUGGCUUGAUAAGCCGGUUGUGAAAGCCCCGGGCUCAACCUGGGAACGGCAUCCGGAACUGUCAAGCUAGAGUGCAGGAGAGGAAGGUAGAAUUCCCGGUGUAGCGGUGAAAUGCGUAGAGAUCGGGAGGAAUACCAGUGGCGAAGGCGGCCUUCUGGACUGACACUGACACUGAGGUGCGAAAGCGUGGGUAGCAAACAGGAUUAGAUACCCCAGUAGUC
rnacentral:rRNA from 1 species